rnacentral:lncRNA from 1 species
CUGCUGUGAGAUGAACCACUGUCUACAGGACCCUGCUGCUGAGGAUGAACCACUGUCUACAGACCCUGCUGCUGAGGAUGAACCACUGUCUACAGACCCUGCUGCUGAGGAUGAACCACUGUCUACAGACCCUGUCUAAUGACCCUGCUGACUGGCCUUCAGUUCUGACUGACAGAAUGACGUGGAUCAGAAAACUGAGAGCCUGGCCCUGCUGCAGGAUGAGCUGUCCAGGAUGGAAAAUACUCUGUUACAGACAUGGAGAACUCUCUAUAGUAAGUGUAACCUUUUUCAGUAUGAGGGAGAAUUAUCCGUUUGUGCAUUUGUGUGAGAGGCCUGUCGCCCGAAUGUGUGUGCGUGGAGAGUGAAUCAGUUAUAUUGUGUUGUACCUGAGCAGCUUUGAGAGGGAGACAGCCAGUCUACACAGACAACUUGACUCUGCCCAGGAGGAGCUGUCUGGAGUGGGGAGAGACAGGGAGAUUGCCCAGGGAGAGAACAGGAGACUACAGGAUGACCUAGCCACUAUGACCAGAGAGAACCAGGUACAGACCAAAGUUUGAUAUCCAAGAGCUUUUAUGAAGACAAAUACUGUAGGAAAAGAGUCCAGUGGGGAGAGUUUGAGUUCUGUUUAAUAUGUUAAAUCUUGUCUGUCCUUGCUCACCUCUAACCAACAUCCUACUAAACUGAAUUCACUUGCAUUCACUUGCACUGGCUCCCGCACAAACAUGAACUUGAAGUAGUGUUUUAGCCUGUAGCGGAUCUCCUCUGGCUUCAGGGAGGACAGGAAUAGCAGGUCACUCUUGUGGUCCAUCUUGAUGCUGACGUCCACGUUCUCCAGAGUCCCACUCAGGACCUUCAGAACCCUCUUCCAGUUGGAGCAGGCCACCUUGGGGACGUAGCAGCAGAGGAAGCGGUGCUCGUCGUUCACUAGGACGUGCUGCAGCAGGGUUUUCCUCUGCAGGGGGCUCAGGCACCUCACACUGUGAGGCAUGUUCUUCUGACCACAUAUGGUCCGGAUACGGAUCUCCUGGAGAAUCUGAUUGGGGAGAUGAAAAUGUUUUGACAUAACUAUUAUUAUGUUACACAAAAUGUUACACAAAAUAAUAAUGCAUGUAUAAUACAAUAUCACGUCAAUAUAAUACCUACACAAUGAUAUGCAUUCCAUCAAAGAGUGGACAACUAACAAAAUGUAAACAAUGUAGCAAAUGCAUCAUGACAUUUUCAUGAUAUAGCCCAGGGAUGAGCAACUUUGAUGGGGUGGGAGCCACAACAAAUCUGAACUCAUGAGGGGCAACAGUGGCUCAUGGGUCUGCGUACCCACACAUGCAGUCAGCCGGUGUCAUGUCUGCUCCUGCUCCUCCGGCGUAUGAGGUGACCAGAGUACUAACCACCGGUCCUGAGAUUCAUCAGCACACCUGGCAGUCAUCAUUACGCGCACCUCAUUAUGAUUCACACCUGGACUCCAUUACCUUCAUAAUUUCCUCCCCUUUAUAUGUCAGUCUCCCAUGUUCACUCACUAGUUGGUAUUGUUCUUGUGUAUUGGCGUACUGCCUUAUGUUAGUGUCAUGUUCUUGGUUUUAUUAAAAUGUUGCACCUACUUCUGACUCACCACCCCAUCAUCACACCCGGGAAUAGCCCAAUUCUACACAUCUUGCCAUGGGGCACAGAGAAAAUGUUGCAGGUUUAAAGAAAGUUUGCUGCAAUUCUAAACAUUUUGCCAUGGAGCGGAGAGAAAUAUUUGCAGUUUUGAAUAUGAUAUCUGAGUGAGACUAACAAAAUCAAUGGGGUGGGGUCAUUUGACCAUGAUUACUACAAGUUUAGAUAGCUGGUAAGACCAAUCUAAAAAUGUGUUUGCUGACUUUUUAUUUAACUAGGCAACUCAUCUAAUUGAGUGACUGACAUAACAGAAACUGCGGAUGCACAACCAAAUUUCGAAAUUGCACCUGUAUUCUACUAUAGAUACAUGGCGAGGCGUGGCUUAACGUGACCAUGCCCCGGCGUAGGGUACUCCUAUUUCUCCAUUGUAAUUAGCCUAACUUUUGCUGGCAUCCUAAGCAAACUGACACUUUUUUUUGUCGUUUCAAUAAAUGUUUUCAGCAGCCUCACGUGUUAACAUACGUGGCUGUCACAACAACAAAUGACUUGCAUGAUACUUGUUCUGCCACUAAUUUGUUACCCGACCUGCUGACACUAACAGUAAAACUGCCGUAUCAUCCUACGUCACUGUUUGUUUACCCCUAGCUUUUUUUCCCAGUUAGCUAACUUCUCUCGCUAGCCAGUCAAUCUCGAUCUAAUUCGCUAGUCUUUGAUACGUUGCCUAACUACUUGCAGUCUUUGCAAAUUGAACAGUCAAGGGCUAUUUAGAAAAAUGUAUUAUUGUUGGCUUGCCUAUGUCCUUUCAACUUGCCGGGGACCAGCUGGGGAGAAAAUCCUACCAAAUAGUUAAUUAUCUACACCUACUUGGUGGAAUCUCCAGAUUUCCAUAAAUCUCCACAUGCAGAAGAAUAGUAUAGCUGUUAUUUGGAUGGAUAUAGCUCACUAGUCCUUACUACAAGCUAACUAGCCAGCUUUAUGCAAUACACAUUGCUAGUUAGAUACAAACAAGUACUGGUGACUUACCGGUAAUGAAGUGCAUCGCGGAGUAAUAGCCUGAAAUCAUGAGGUUCGUCUAACUUGGUACUUGGGCAGUUGAUCAAACUUAAUUUGGUCGUCUUUUUCGCCUACUAUUUUUCAAACAAAACGGCACGCCACAGCUUUUUGUUAUUUUAAAAGCAAGGUUAGCUAGUUAAGAAAGUCAGUGGUGAAACAGAAGAGUUGUCUGUUCUUUUGAGUUUUGAUGUUGAUUCUUUGCCCAGCAAAGUGAUGUCAUGAUAUAUAAUUUAUCCUAUACAAGCUUUUGUGCCGAAUACAAUACGCUGUUAGAUGUCAAGUUUAUGGACAUGUGGCAACAGUGUGUAGGAGGGAUGUUCCUAGGUGUGAGAAGUGUUCAGAAUGGAAUGAGACAAAGGAAUGUGUAGCAUUGGGGAAAGUAGUGGUAUGUGUUAAUUGUAGUGGUGCCCAAUGGGCUGGGGAUCAGAAAUGUCCUGUGCAAGAGAGGAAGGUUGAGGUUUCCAGGGUUAGAGUAGUGCAGAAGUUGUCAUAUGUUGAGGCAGUGAAGAAAG